GGCAUUCUCCUGCUUCAGCCUCUGGAGUAGCCGUGACUACAGGCACCCGCCACCGCGCCCGGCCUUAACUAGGAUUUUCUAGACUAUGUUCCAGGAGAAGUAGAAUUACUGCAUCACAGGGCACUUCAUUUUUAGAUUACGUAUCAUGGCGGCAGACCUUCAAUACCAAGGUGCAUCUUCUCCAGCAAGUUCUUCAGCAUCCUUUCCAGAAGCAUUCGGCAGCCGAGAAAGCAGGCUACACCUUACCUACUCCUUCCUGGGCUAAAGAUCUCAGACUUAGUUGCUUAUCUUAAUUUGGGGAAAAUAAAUUAAGGAGUUCUUCUAUCAUUAAGCACAACAUAAUAUAAUCUAUUUAAUAAAUUCUGAUCAUCCACAUUUUGAUGGCAAUCCCACAUUUGAAAAUAAUGAUUAUAUAUGCAAAUAUUUUUAGCCAGUUAAAUUGGAACUUAUUCUUUGAAACAUCAUGAUCAUUUUUGUUCUAAUCAGUAACUAUAAUGGAACAAUAAGGUGUUUUUGAUAAACCACAUGAGUUAUUUUCAUUGAUUAUCUUAUGACAGUUGUUAUCAAAAUGGAUUAUUACAUAUUUAUCUAGUAUUUGCUGUAAACUCAGCAGUUUGGAAUACAUCAGUAAGUAUUUAGUUUUAUUAUGCUACUAGAGUUUUUUUCCGUAUUAUAGAAUUUUCAAACAUUUACUAAGGUAGAUAAAAUUUUAAUAGUUUAAUGAACCUGGUUUACCAUUUAAUCAGCUUAUUAGUAAUCAAUACAUGGCCAAUUUCACUUCAUUUACACCUCCACACACUUCCCUCAUAUUCCUUGUUAUUGCCUUAAUUGAGAUAUAAUUUACAUGUCCUCAAUUAUGUUUUGGAAAAUGGAGACAUUGUUUCCUCUACAAAUAUUUCUGUAUGCCUCUCUAAAUAUUAAUGACUUAAAACACAAACAGACCCUGACACCAUAUGACCUUAGGACAAAUUAGCAAUAACUUCCUAAUGUAUAAAAUUAAAUAUCCAGUCAGUUUUCAAGGUUUCCCUAUUGUCUUGUAAAUUAUUAUCAUCUUCUUUAUUUUAUAGUUAUUUUAAUUGGGAUCCAAAUAAGGACUAUACAUUAAAAUUAGAUGAAAAUAUGUCUUGUUUCCUUUGAUAUCUUUGAGUAUAUCACCUACGUGUGUCACCUACAUCUUUUUUCACUUGCACUCUUUUGGUUUAUUUUGUUUUGAUUGAAGAAACCAGAUUAUUUAUCCUGUAGUAUUUUGACACUCUGCAUUUUUCGGAUUGCAUUUCGUGGUAUUUAUUAAACCUGUGAUAUAAUUUGAAUGUAUGCUCCAAAUCUCAUUGAUAUGGUUUGGCUCUAUGUCCCCACCCAAAUCUCAUCUUGAAUUUCGACCCCCAUGUGUGGAUGGAGGGACUUGGUGGGAGGUGAUUGGAUCAUGGGGGCCAUUCCCCCAUGCUGUUCUUGUGAUAGAGAGUUCUCAAAAGAUCUGGUUGUUUGAUAAGGGUCUGGCAUUUCCCCUUUGCUCUGUCUCUCCUCCUGCCAUGUAAGAUGUGCCUUGCUUCUCCUUCACCCUCUGUUAUGAUUCUAAGUUUCCUGAGGCCUCUCCAGCCAUGCAUAACUGUGAGUCAAUUAAACCUUCCUUUCUAAAUUA